AUUGAACGCUGGCGGCAGGCCUAACACAUGCAAGUCGAACGAGUGGCGGACGGGUGAGUAAUGUCUGGGAAACUGCCUGAUGGAGGGGGAUAACUACUGGAAACGGUAGCUAAUACCGCAUACCAUCAGAUGUGCCCAUAUGGGAUUAGCUAGUUGGUGGGGUAACGGCUCACCAAGGCGACGAUCCCUAGCUGGUCUGAGAGGAUGACCAGCCACACGGGAACUGAGACACGGUCCAGACUCCUAAGGGAGGCAGCAGUGGGGAAUAUUGCACAAGGGGCGAAAGCCUGAUGCAGCCAUGCCGCGUGUAUGAUGAAGGCCUUCGGGUUGUAAAGUACUUUCAGCGGAGAAGCGUUACCUGCAGAAGAAGCACCGGCUAACUCCGUGCCAGCAGCCGCGGUAAUAC
rnacentral:rRNA from 1 species